rfam:Bacillus sp. KCTC 13219 scaffold1.1, whole genome shotgun sequence.
CUCUUAUCCCGAGCUGGUGGAGGGUCAGGCCCUAUGAAGCCCGGCAACCUGCAUGACUUUUCACAUCAUGCGUUGGUGCCAACCUGAUGCAAGGAGCUUUCUCCUUGAACGAUAAGAG